rnacentral:lncRNA from 1 species
CUCCAAUAAGGAAGAAGUCUUCUCCAGCUGGAACUGAAGCCUGUUGGAGCUGAAAGUGCAGUCAUAUAUUUCCUACAUGGUGUUCACAGAAGGCCAGAAGGACAGCUGAAACCUUGAAACAUCUUUAAACAGUCUGGAGAAAGGGCGAUUAAUUGCGGAGACACUGUAGCAUAACCGAGAUGUUUUCUUGGUGAACCAUCGUUAAAGAAAUAGCUUCCUUGAGGUGAGAGCUCACGAAGUAUGGAUGCCUACUGUCCAGUGAAUAUACAACUGACAAUGAAGGUGGAAGGCCCCCUUUGCACAUUGGAAGACUGCUACAAGAUUCCUCCAGGGACAUCUCUUCUCCAGGCUGAACAGCCUCAGCUCAGUCAUCACAAGAGAGGUGUUCCAGACCUCUGACCACCCUUAUGGUCCUCCUCUGGACCCACUCCAGAAGGUCCAUGCCCCUCCGUGCUGGCGGCCCUAGAGAUGGAUGCAGCACAGGGGGUAGGUUCUCAUGAGAAUGGAGUAGAGGGAGACAAUCACCUCUCCUGGCCUGUUGGUCACACUCCUAUUCAUGCAUCUCAGGAUGCAUCUCAACCCAUUUUGGCUUUCUGAGCUACAAGCACACAUUGCAGGAUUGUGCUGAUACUCUCAUCAACCAACACCCUCAAGUUAUUUGCCUCAGGACUGCUCUUAAUCCAUUCUCUGUCAGCCUGUAUUUUUGCAUGGGGUUGCCCCAACCUGUCUGCAUGACCUUUCACCUGACCUUGCUGAAUUUAAUAAGGUUCACGUGGUCACACCUCUCAAGCUUCUCAAGGCCUCUCUGGAUGGUAUCCCUUCCCUCUGAAGUGUCACCUGCACCACUCAGCUUGCUGCCAUUUCCAAACUUCCUAAGGAUGUACUCAGUCUCACUAUGUCAUUAAUUAAGUUAUUAAACAGUAUUGAUCCUGAUACAGAUCCCUGAUGGACACCACUCAUCACUGGUCUCCAUCUGUACUUUUGAGCCGUUGAUUGCAACUCUAUGCAUCGAUGGAUACCC